UUGAGAAAAUUUGUUGAUUUGGUGCUGAAAUUGAGGAAUUUGGAUUGGAUUUGAUGCCGAGGAGGGUGGGAUUGUGGAGAGUUGUAUGAAAAAUCGGGUUUUUUGGUGGGUUUUAGCUCUGAUUUGAGCCAUGUUCUGCUGUUCUUGCUUCGAUUCCGUGGUGGAGAAGAGGAUUGUUGAUGGGAAUGGAGGAGAUGAUAAACAAGAGGAGUUGCCCAUGGCGGCUCCGCAAGUUGAGAGGCUAUCUUUAGGGGCUGAGAGGCCGGAACCUGAAAGAAAAAUGGAUACAAAUAAAGAAGAAAAGGUUCAGCAGCUGGAUGGUUCUGGUUUGAAUAUCUCUGCGAGAACAUUCACUUUUAGGGAGCUUGCUGCUGCAACAAGGAAUUUUAGGCAAGAGUGCUUAUUAGGGGAGGGGGGAUUUGGUUGGGUUUAUAGAGGGCAUCUUGAGAGCACUGGGCAGGAAGUAGCUGUGAAGAAACUAAACCAUAAUGGAUUUCAAGGAAAUCAGGAGUUUCUGGUGGAGGUGCUCGUGCUCAGCUUACUACAGCAUCCCAAUCUAGUUAAUCUUAUUGGUUAUUGCGGGGAUGGAGAUCAACGUCUUCUUGUGUAUGAGUAUAUGCCUUUGGGCUCAUUGGAUGAUCAUUUACUUGAACUUCCUCCUGACAGGGAACCUUUGGACUGGAUUACAAGGAUGAAGAUUGCUGCUGGUACGGCGAAAGGUUUGGAAUACCUGCACAACAAGGCUGUUCCCAGGGUAAUCUAUAGGGACCUCAAAUCAUCGAACAUAUUAUUGGAUCGGGAGUUCAAUCCAAAGCUUUCUGAUUUUGGGUUGGCAAAACUUGGUCCUGUCGGUGACAAAUCUCAUGUUUCAACAAGGGUGAUGGGAACUUAUGGGUACUGUGCUCCAGAGUAUGCUCUGACAGGGCAACUAACAGUUAAGUCAGAUGUCUACAGUUUUGGUGUUGUAUUAUUGGAGUUGAUUACUGGACUAAGAGCAGUGGACCAGAACCGACCACAUGCUGAACGGAAUCUUGUUUCAUGGGCGCGAACAAUGAUGAGUGACCGAAGACAAAUUCCAAAGCUGGUUGAUCCCAAGUUAAACGAUAGAUAUCCAAUGCGUGGAUUAUACCAAGCUCUUUCGGUGGCCUCAAUGUGCACUCAAGAAGAGGCAGCUGGCCGCCCACCCAUUGCUGAUGUAGUUACUGCUUUCUCCUUCUUGGCGAAUCAAUCAUAUGAUCCUAAGCAUAAUUCCAGAAGUCAAGGCACAUCACAUGUUUCCAAGAAUGAAACUGAAGGUGCAUCAGAAUACAGAAGGAAUUUGAAGGAGUCGGGAAAAGAAGAUGCUCCAAGAGCAAAUAAUGGAAUACUGAAAAACAAGGACUUUGAUCGAGAGCGCGCCAUAGCAGAGGCAAAGAAAUGGGGGGAGAAUUUGCGGGAAAAGAGACGGGCUGAUGAAGAAGCAAGUUCAGCUGGUUCAAAUCAAAUGUGAAUGCUUGAAAGCAUAAGACCAUGACCAAAACUGAAAUCUUUUCUCAUUUUUGAGCUGUGUGAGAAGUGAAACUGUUUUGUGAUGUUGUUGUGGAGCAUGGUUAGGGAGGCAGAGUAGAGUGUACAUUGUUAGAAGGGGAUGAAGAAGUUGCAGAGAUGUAGAUAGUGAGGAAUAACUUUUUUUUUUUGGUACUUCUCAAUGGUUGGAGAGACUCAAUAGGAAUCCUUACUUAGAAAGAAUGUGCACAGGCCAAGCUUGUAUCCAAGCGUGUCAUCACUCAUCAGACUGGAGUUCAUCUCUGUCCAGAUCUCCCACUAGGAGCCAAAGCCUGCUUGUCUCGCUUCCUCGUUGGAGCCACUCCCCAAGCAAUGAUGGCUGGAGGAUCCUCUAGGGGUAAUGCAAAUCUUCUGGUCCCAAAAUUUGUCUUAGCUUCUAUUGCUGGAGAUCAUCGUCUUAGGCUUCACAUUCAACUUUAUUUAUUGACAAAAGUACUAGACAAAUCUAGAGCUGCUAUCACUAAAAUCCUAAGCAUGACAGUCUGUUACAUUAGGCUCACCCGGAAAGUGGAAAGUUUUCCAGUAGGUAAGACUCUUUUUCUAUAUUAACUAAAGGAUAUUCUUCGGAACAUUUGAGGAUAGGGAAAAUUUAUUAUUACUGAUAUUUGUCGCAUGGGUUUUAUUGCAUCAAAUGUGAAUUUGAGGACUUUCAGAAUAAGAUGUUCUAUGGCGGACCUUGAAUAAUUAUGGAUAUGGUCCUUCACCUCUUUCAAUUGAAGAAAAUUUUCUAGCUA